CCCAGCUCCUCCCAGAAACAGACAGGUGGGACAGAAGAAAUCCUCAGUGUUGGAAGCUGACUGCUAAAAGCUGGCUAGAGAGAGCCAGGACACUCAGAACUUGGGGGAGAGUUUAAAUAUUAUGUUGGAGAAAGACUCUGUGGGUAUUCUCACUUGACUAGAAGAAGGAUUACUUCUUCCUUGGACCCAGGAGUCUGCUGAGGUGUUCAUAGCUUCCUCCCGUGUCAAACAGUAAAAGUGGUGUGAUGAUGACCAAGUUGGAUGGUUAACGGAAGAUCUUCAACAUCAGAACGACCUUCUGCCUGAAAAGUUCAUCCACAGAGUCAAUAUACCAUUUCCUGUCAUCACUUUGCAUCCCUGAUCAGCGUGCUAAGCAAAGAGCAGCUGUGACUCAGCCUGGUGCGCUGAAGAGAUAGUUCCUGGUUCUUUUAAAGGGCACCUGUGUCCAUUUUUCUGCUGUGGAUAUCCAUCUUCCUUUAACAUUCCUAAAUUAAAAUUGAAGGCUUUAGGAAGAGUGAUUACUGUUAUUACUAUAAAGCGAUAUUAAAAAAUAAUAGCCUUUAAAAUAUAUUAACACAUUCUUGACAAAUGUUACUGGG